UGAGUUNUGAUCCUGGCUCAGUGAUGAACGCUAUCGGACAGGCUUAAUACAUGCAAGUCGUGGUGGCAUGCGCAUUGUAGCAAUACUGGGCGUGCGACCGAGCAAACGGGUGCGGAACACGUACACAACCUUCCGAGAAGUGGGGAAUAGCCCAGAGAAAUUUGGAUUAAUACCCCGUAACAUAACGAUGUGGCAUCACAUUGUUAUUAUACGCUUCGGCGCUUCUUGAUGGGUAUGCGGCUGAUUAGAUAGUUGGCGGGGUAACGGCCCACCAAGUCUACGAUCAGUAGCUGAUGUGAGAGCAUGAUCAGCCACACGGGCACUGAGACACGGGCCCGACUCCUACGGGAGGCAGCAGUAAGGAAUAUUGGUCAAUGGACGCAAGUCUGAACCAGCCAUGCCGCGUGAAGGAUUAAGGUCCUCUGGAUUGUAAACUUCUUUUAUCUGGGACGAAAAAAGGCGAUUCUUCGUCACUUGACGGUACCAGAUGAAUAAGCACCGGCUAACUCCGUGCCAGCAGCCGCGGUAUACGGAGGGUGCAGCGUUAUCCGGAUUCACUGGGUUAAAGGGUGCGUAGGCGGGCCAGGUAAGUCAGU
rnacentral:rRNA from 1 species